GAGAGAGGUUCUGUAAACAAUAGAGACUGCUAAUCUUUAUCCCCGUAGUUAGAGUCCACGGCUCACUCG
rnacentral:tRNA from 1 species